rnacentral:rRNA from 1 species
UUCAGGGGGUAACGGAAAAGAGCCGAAAUAUCCGCGAGGGGAGAUUCACGUCUACUCGCUGGCUCGACGGUCUGCCUUUGUCGGACGGUUCGACGCCCCAUCCGGGGAAACUCGGAACGGUGGGUCGAGCCGCCCAAGGUUGUACCGGAGGGCUGCGGCAGACCGCACUUCUCCUCUCGGUGGACGUCGCGACCCGAUCGGCCAUUGUCUGAGGUAUUGGGGUGGAGCCUGUACGGCUGUCAUUUCACUAUGAUUUGUCCGUGCAGACCCCCUUUUGCCUGACAGUGGAACCUACUGGUCGGUAUCAAAAGACAGUGUAGAACCGCUCCACGGCUAUGGGGUCAUCCUGUACCGAGAGCGCGCUCGGCCCUUGGCAAGGCAGCGUGUCGCGGCUCAAUGCAGACUUACGUCUGCCUGACUGCGCUCGCGUCUGUUGGCCAGAGGUGCCCUGUCGCAGGUUCACCCAAUCACAUUGGCACUAGUCAGCGGCGAAUGAGUUUCGGCAUCUUGUCCGACCCGUCUUGAAACACGGACCAAGGAGUUUUGCGUGUGCGCAAGUCAUUGGGUUCAAAAACCCAAAGGCGAAAUGAAAGUGAAGGAAACUUAACUUUCCGAAGGAGGAUGUGUGUUGUCCUUUCACGAGGACAGCACCGCACUCCUAGGGCGUCCCAUCUUGUUACAAGAGGAGGCGCACC